rnacentral:rRNA from 1 species
GGCUCAGGAUGAACGCUGGCGGCGUGCCUAAUACAUGCAAGUCGAGCGAACGGACAGGAGUGCUUGCACUCCUUGAAGUUAGCGGCGGACGGGUGAGUAACACGUGGGUAACCUACCUAUAAGACUGGGAUAACUUCGGGAAACCGGAGCUAAUACCGGAUAAUAUAUACCUCCGCAUGGAGGAAUAGUCAAAGACGGUUCUGCUGUCACUUAUAGAUGGACCCGCGGUGUAUUAGCUAGUUGGUGAGGUAACGGCUCACCAAGGCAACGAUACAUAGCCGACCUGAGAGGGUGAUCGGCCACACUGGGACUGAGACACGGCCCAGACUCCUACGGGAGGCAGCAGUAGGGAAUCUUCCGCAAUGGACGAAAGUCUGACGGAGCAACGCCGCGUGAGUGAAGAAGGUUUUCGGAUCGUAAAACUCUGUUGUAAGGGAAGAACAAGUACGUUAGUAACUGAACGUACCUGACGGU